UGUGGACGAGUUUGAUCAUGGCUCAGAACGAACGCUGGCGGCAUGCCUAACACAUGCAAGUCGAACGAAGGCUUCGGCCUUAGUGGCGCACGGGUGCGUAACGCGUGGGAACCUGCCCCUCGGUUCGGAAUAACAGUUAGAAAUGACUGCUAAUACCGGAUGAUGACUUCGGUCCAAAGAUUUAUCGCCGAGGGAUGGGCCCGCGUAGGAUUAGCUAGUUGGUGGGGUAAAGGCCUACCAAGGCGACGAUCCUUAGCUGGUCUGAGAGGAUGAUCAGCCACACUGGGACUGAGACACGGCCCAGACUCCUACGGGAGGCAGCAGUGGGGAAUAUUGGACAAUGGGCGAAAGCCUGAUCCAGCAAUGCCGCGUGAGUGAUGAAGGCCUUAGGGUUGUAAAGCUCUUUUACCAGGGAUGAUAAUGACAGUACCUGGAGAAUAAGCUCCGGCUAACUCCGUG
rnacentral:rRNA from 1 species